rfam:Schistosoma mansoni, Puerto Rico, WGS project CABG01000000 data, contig: 0156
GCAUUGAUGAGGAGUUCCAUAAUAGAAUGAAACGGCCGUCCAGUGC